ACAAAGCUUUUGUUCAGACAAAGAAACAGAGAAGAAAAACUUAGCAGAAACAUCAUACCCAAAAAGGAUCCACCAAGAACUUCAACUAUGCAAGCGAAAGAUGAACAACCAAAUUACAAAAUAAAACUUGGACUAAAUUUUACUCUUUGCACUAAAUUAAAAUUUAAUAAAGAAAAUAAUCCACGCUGCCCUCAAUCCAAACAGUAUAUUACUCGUUCUCCCUCUCACGGCUGCUCCCCCGACUGGACAGUCUCCCGCCUACUCCACUGGCUCCCCUUACCAAGAUCAUCCUAAUCGAGUAGGUACUCACAAUGGAAGCUUCCACUGCGACGAGGCUCAGGUUCUCCAACGCCGAAAUUGCUCGUUCCCGCUACCUUCAGGUUCCAAGAAGCCCGACCCUUUUUAUACUAAUUUGCAAUAGCAGCUUUGGUGGUCCUUUUACAUAUUUACAUUAGCGACUAUGGAAGCAUGAUUCUUUUUUUCUUCUGCAAAUGUUUUAACUUUGCAAGGACAAAAAAAAAAAAAAAAACCACCUUUGAAUCCAUAUGAAGAGGGAUUUAACUGCUUAGAGAGUUUAGUUCUUGCAAAGAAUUUUCCCACAUGCUUUUUCGGUGUUUGUGAUGAAAUAUUGAAAUGCAUACUAAUUUUCUCCCUUCGUAGCGGGCAAACAAGAAUUUAGCUUGCAGUUUGUGCUUUAUUGAAGGUUGUAUGAGAUUUAAUGGCGAAAUGUGGGUGUUAGAUGGUCUGGAUGCUGUGAAUGAUGUCGGGGGCGCUUAUGAUCCAAGUCGUGACCGAUAUGAUCACCAUCAGAAGGGAUUUUAGGAGGUGUUUGGACAUGGGUUCACUACCAAGUUUAGUAGUGCUGGUCUUGUUUAUAAGAUAGUCCUUUCUGAGAAAAAGAGAAGGGCACUUUGGGAAGGAGAUAAUAGCUAAGGAGCUUCAGGUUGAUGAAGGGCACCCAGAUGUGCAUCGGUCGUUCUUGGCUGUUUACAAAAGCUUCAUGGAGGUGCUAACUUCUGUUCAGUUUUGGUAGAUAAUCAGACAUAUAUUAUUGAUGCGAAGUCCAAUUGUGAGUUUUCAAAUGUGAUUAGUGAUCUUGUUGAGAAAAUGGUAAAGACAAAUUAAGUAUAUUUUGUCUCCAUUAGUUUAUUUUUAUGAAAAAAAAAAUAUUAAAAUUUUGUCCCCCUGAACUAAAAUCCUGGCUUUGCCCCUGUCCAUACCUGUUCUCCUAAUAUAAUGUUAUUUACAUGUCUUCAUGCUUGACCUUAAAUGAUUAGACAUAUAUUACCUGUACCAUUCACAGUUCUGAUAGUUUUGCUUCAAGUUAGAUUCUUAAUUUAACUUCUCCAACUUUGGCUCAUCCCCCCCUUUAUUUGUGGACAUUUUGUUUUCCUUCUGCGGGCAAUUUAUGCCAUUGACAAUGGAAUCAAUCAGUAUGAUACAGACCAGCCUCCAAGAUAUGUGAAUAAUACACAUUUGUCUUCAAGGGUUGGGAGAUUGAAUUUGGAUUGGAUACAGCCUGAGCAAUCACCUGAGAAGGAGAACAAGACCUUCCAAAAAGCAAUGGCUCUGGCUGGCAGUGAGUUUUUAGAUAGUGUUCGAUAUCAUGCAAGGUCUUGGUCACUGUCACAGUCAAUUGUAAUGGAGUGUCCUGCAGCUAGAUUUGAUGUUGACCCUGGUGGUGAAAUUAUGGUUUUGGAUACAUUUUGUCUUGUAAGUAUACUGUGCAGCGUCUGCGGUCUUUAUUAUGUACUGCAAAGAUUCUAGUUAUGCUAUCAAUAAUGUUGCUUUAUUUAUCACUUUCAUUUGUUUAUGUGGGUAUAUCACUGCAAUUUAUCAUAUGUGCAACCAAACUGCUUAAAACCUAGAGAGGUAGGGCAGAACAUUUGGUUUUUUCUUGAUAUCAAAGAGUUGUGGCACAUGUGAUCUGAAAAAAAUGCAAGUAAUGGAUUUUGGCAUGUGUGUUUCUGUUUAGUGGAUGGAAGUUUUUGGCUGAUAUUGGUGGUUCUUUAAUGGGUCUGGUUCUGGCCAGAAAAUUAUAAUUAGUUUUUUUUUCCUGCAGUGGAAAUUUCAUUUAUUUGAGCUUUAGGAGGAACUGAAUACUGACCCUUCAAUUAAAUAUGUUCUUUAUCAGAUGCAUUCGUGUUUGUGCAUAACUUGUUUAAUUCACCUAUCAGAUUUUUCUCUUAGUGUUUACAAUGUAAAAUUACUUUUUGCAAAUAUCAGAACAUUAGAAUGUCUUUUGAAGGGCACUCUUUCCUUCUUGGUAUUUUAGUGCAUGUGUUUCUGGAGGACAAUAUUUUGCUUUAGUCACUGUCCUGUUAUUUGGUCAUUUUUACACAAAAGAAAACCAGAUUGCCUCUCAAAUAUUUUCUAUCAACUGAUGUUUCCUUUAGGGUAUAAUGAGGAUGAGGUACUUAAUUUUAAAAAGAAUUCAGAUGUAGCCAUUCUUUACCUUCCCCCUCUCUCUUCUCCUUGGAAAAUGAAAAUAAAGUUUGUCUCGGAUGAGCUUUCAGAAGUCUCAACACCAAUAAAUAUACAGGCUGACAGGAGCGAACAUUGGCGAGUGCAGGCAGUGGUGAUAGCUCCAGAUAGAUUUGAAAGCCGGAGGCCUCUACCAGCUCACUGGCGAGGGCUGAGGGUUAACGAGCUGUCAAAGAGAGUCUGGAAUCCCUGGUUCUGUUUUUGUCCAUAUGAGCGGAUUCACAGGUGGAAAUCAAACUUAUGAGGGAGCUCUGACCAUGUCAAGAACCGCACUGAAAACAGAGAAGAAUGGAUUAUCACAUUGCUGUCACGAUCAAAGGAAAAUUCCAGAUUUUUUUGCUGGACCUGAAUGAAUUCAUUACUUUGUGUUGUUUUCAUUUUUCUGCCAAUGGGGUAGGUAGCUCUGCAGUCAACUUAUUAUUGAGAUGUUAUAAUUGGCAUUCAUUCAUAUAAGAACUACUGACAUUUUAUUCUAACAUCUA